rnacentral:rRNA from 1 species
AACGAACGCUGGCGGCAUGCCUAACACAUGCAAGUCGAACGAGACCUUCGGGUCUAGUGGCGCACGGGUGCGUAACGCGUGGGAACCUGCCCUUAGGUUCGGAAUAACUCCCCGAAAGGGGUGCUAAUACCGGCUAAUGUCUUCGGCCCAAAGAUUAAUCGCCUUUGGAUGGGCCCGCGUUGGAUUAGCUAGUUGGUAGGGUAAAAGCCUACCAAGGCGACGAUCCAUAGCUGGUCUGAGAGGAUGAUCAGACACACUGGGACUGAGACACGGCCCAGACUCCUACGGGAGGCAGCAGUGGGGAAUAUUGGACAAUGGGCGAAAGCCUGAUCCAGCAAUGCCGCGUGAGUGAUGAAGGCCUUAGGGUUGUAAAGCUCUUUUACCCGGGAUGAUAAUGACAGUACCGGGAGAAUAAGCACCGGCUAACUCCGUG